GGCCCGGAACCACCCGGCAAGCCUUGGCCAGGACUUUUAAUCCAUUGGUUGUGGGUUCGAGUCCCACAGGGCCU
rnacentral:tRNA from 3 species